rnacentral:rRNA from 1 species
AUUGAACGCUGGCGGCAUGCUUUACACAUGCAAGUCGAACGGCAGCGCGGGCUUCGGCCUGGCGGCGAGUGGCGAACGGGUGAGUAAUGCAUCGGAACGUGCCCAGUAGUGGGGGAUAGCCCGGCGAAAGCCGGAUUAAUACCGCAUACGACCUGAGGGUGAAAGCGGGGGACCGAAAGGCCCCGCGCUAUUGGACGGGCCGAUGUCGGAUUAGCUAGUUGGUGGGGUAAAGGCUUACCAGGGCGACGAUCCGUAGCUGGUCUGAGAGGACGACCAGCCACACUGGGACUGAGACACGGCCCAGACUCCUACGGGAGGCAGCAGUGGGGAAUUUUGGACAAUGGGGGCAACCCUGAUCCAGCCAUGCCGCGUGCGGGAAGAAGGCCUUCGGGUUGUAAACCGCUUUUGUUCGGGAAGAAAUCCUCUGGGCUAAUACCCCGGGGGGAUGACGGUACCGGAAGAAUAAGCACCGGCUAACUACGUG